GUGGGGAAUAUUGCGCAAUGGACGAAAGUCUGACGCAGCGACGCCGCGUGUGGGAUGAAGCUCUUCGGGGUGUAAACCACUGUUGCCAGGGAAGAAACUCUUGAUUCGUCAAGACUGACGGUACCUGGUGAGGAAGCACCGGCUAACUCUGUGCCAGCAGCCGCGGUAAUACAGAGGGUGCGAGCGUUGUCCGGAAUCACUGGGCGUAAAGGGCGCGUAGGUGGCGGGAUAAGUGUGUGGUGAAAGCUCGGGGCUCAACCCCGAGUCUGCCAUGCAGACUGUCUUGCUCGAGCGUAGUAGAGGCAGGUGGAAUUCCGGGUGUAGCGGUGGAAUGCGUAGAGAUCCGGAAGAACACCGGUGGCGAAGGCGGCCUGCUGGGCUACUGCUGACACUGAUGCGCGACAGCGUGGGGAGCAAACAGGAUUAGAAACCCUAGUAGUCC
rnacentral:rRNA from 1 species